CCAGGGAAGGAUUGUUCCAUCUCGUAACCGUUCGGUCUGGCCAGGGUGCCUGUUAAUGGUACCCAAUUCAAUCCCAAUGGUUCGGUCACUGCUACUAGUGUUCGGUUUAUUGCUUAGAGCUUGUGGUUGGUUGGUUUAUCUGAUUGUUUGUGGCAAAUUAAGGUGUGUAUGAUUUAUAUGACUCGGAAAAGUAUCAAGUAAUUGGAUUGGUUGGAUUCGGUUGCGAAAUUAAGAUCUCUCGGUGGGAUCAAUUAGUGUAUUGAAUGUAUGUAAGAGGCUUCCACUAUGGGGGGUUAUCCCUAACACUCUAACGGUCUUUCAUUCUCACUUAGAGAGGAUUGACGCGUGUGGUGAGAGUAGUGGGAGGUCCUAGGGUAGGCGCUUUCACUGUAGGCCUAUACUGCGGUAACGGACCAGCCUUGUGUAUGGUCGGGUGGAACCCCUCGGCAAUGGCUUUGCAAAGCAGUAGGGCCAUCACAAGUGCACAACCCGCCUCAGCUCUAUAUACAUUCUAUGUCCGGACGUGUCUAGGAGUCUUAACAUGACAUGAUGUUUGCUUUAGUAAGUUUUGUGAAAUCAAUGUUUAUGUUUAUGAUGACUUAUAUGUUUAAGUGUGUAUGAACGUUUCUUGCAAUGAAUUGUAUGUUUGUUUGAAAACUAGCUCAC
rnacentral:lncRNA from 1 species